rnacentral:rRNA from 1 species
CAGUCGCCGCGGUAAUACGUAGGGUGCGAGCGUUAAUCGGAUUUACUGGGCGUAAAGCGUGCGUAGGCGGCUUUUUAAGUCGGAUGUGAAAUCCCUGAGCUUAACUUAGGAAUUGCAUUCGAUACUGGGAAGCUAGAGUAUGGGAGAGGAUGGUAGAAUUCCAGGUGUAGCGGUGAAAUGCGUAGAGAUCUGGAGGAACAUCAGUGGCGAAGGCGGCCAUCUGGGACAACACUGACGCUGAGGCACGAAAGCGUGGGGAGCAAACAGGAUUAGAUACCCCCGUAGUCCCUGUCUCUUAUAC